CGCACCGCUAGUGUACCAGUUGUCCUGCCAAGGGCACCGCUGGGUAGCUAUGUGCGGAAGGGAUAACCGCUGAAAGCAUCUAAGUGGGAAACCCGCCCUGAGAUGAGGUAUCCCGGGGAUUUAAUCCCCCUGAAGGGCCCUCGUAGACUACGAGGUUGAUAGGCCGGGUGUGUAAGCGCAGCGAUGCGUUUAGCUAACCGGUACUAAUUGCCCGUGAGGCUUGACCAC
rnacentral:rRNA from 1 species